GUUUUCAUAGUUUAAAAAAACAUUGGUCUUGUAAAUCAAAAUUAAGUAAAUUACUUUGUAAACU
rnacentral:tRNA from 1 species